GACGAACGCUGGCGGCGUGCCUAAUACAUGCAAGUAGAACGCACAGUUUAUACCGUAGCUUGCUACACCAUACACUGUGAGUUGCGAACGGGUGAGUAACGCGUAGGUAACCUGCCUGGUAGCGGGGGAUAACUAUUGGAAACGAUAGCUAAUACCGCAUAAUAUUGAUUAUUGCAUGAUAAUUGAUUGAAAGAUGCUAUUGCAUCACUACCAGAUGGACCUGCGUUGUAUUAGCUAGUAGGUGAGGUAACGGCUCACCUAGGCGACGAUACAUAGCCGACCUGAGAGGGGGGUCGGCCACACUGGGAAUGAGACACGGCCCAGACUCCUACGGGAGGCAGCAGGAGGGAAACGUCGGCAAUGGAGGAAAGGCUGAACGAGGAAAGCCGGGGGAGUGAAGAAGGUUGUCGGAUCGGAAAGAUCUGUUGUAAGAGAAGAAAGGGUGUGAGAGUGGAAAGUUCACAAUGUGACGGUAUCUUACCAGAAAGAGACGGCUAACUACGUG
rnacentral:rRNA from 1 species